CGAAUUAAUAUCGGAAAAGAAAAUUCGACAGGUUGCCAGUCUCGAAUCUUAUCGAUUCGUUAUGGUUUUAUCAAGUAUAGAUUACUGCGCCGUGUUGCCGCUUUACUCAAUAAAUAUUUUUUGUUGGUAAAUGGUAACGAUUCCCCAAUAGCAUUUUUCUGACUUACGACCACAACUUUAUCUAUCCCGACGUUGAAUUUGAGUUACUUUUGUGUCUAACGUUAGAACGCGUGGAAGUUUCCAUUGGGAGGACAAAGAGGUACCUGGCAUUCCACGGUCAACCUCGCGUCGAUUCCUUAAUAAUGAUUCACUAGAAAGGACGGAACGAUGUGACAAAGACAUAAUAAAAGUGUUUAGAAAUGGCAAUGCGGAGUGGAUUCGCAGGGAAGCGUAUGCGAUGUAUGAAAAUAAUCCGAUUCAGCGCUAAAACAUUACGCCGAUUUCUGCACAAAAUCGGAUUUAGAUUUCAAAAUAUUGACUGGCGUAGUUGCAUUAAAUAUACCAAACGAGACAAUAUUAUUUUACUUACCGUUAUCACUUUCGUGUAGAGAAAUGAAAUAUAUAUUAUUUACACGAGACUUGGUUCGACACCCAUGACAAAAUUCUUCAACGAACUGAAUUAGGAAUGCACCUGCAACUAGAAAAAAUAUAUCUACUUUACACUGUGGCUGGCAUGUUGCGUGCCAAACGCAGCAAAAAAAAAUAAAUACGUUAGAUUACCAUCAGGAUAUCACAGCACUUUAGCUAAAAAGUACCAACGAUCAGCAGCAAAAAAGAGGCACUGCAAGAGUUCUUUAGUCGGCACGACCUUUAUUUUGAAUAUAAUGAUACAAAAAAACAACAGGUUGAAGUAUUAAGAACCAAAUCGUAUGAUACAACUUAUUUUAUAGAUGAGGUCAUACAAAAAAUCAGGUAAUAUACCCCCAUAUAUGCCUUAUAUAGAAAUUAUAUGGAUGAAUUAAAAAACGAAGUUUGACCCAAUAAUAUAAUCUCAAAAGUAUCCGCCCAUGUAAAUGAUGUAUUUAAAGUCCGGGUGAAUUAAUAGCAGUUGGAGAGAAUGUGUUAAUCAUGUGCUUGAAGUGGAAUAUAAUUAUAAAAAACCUUGGGACCUCGUAAUACCAUAUUAUAUCGGUGGAUGAUAGUGAUAGCUGAUUCGAACUAUUCUGACGACUAAUUUUAUUUGAUAUGUUUUUAUUAUUUAUAUAAUUACAAUUAUGCCGAAUAUAUUCAUAUAUUUUGUG